rnacentral:rRNA from 1 species
ACGCUCGACACCUACUGGAGGCAGCAGUGGGGAAUAUUGCACAAUGGGGGAAACCCUGUUGCAGCGACGCCGCGUGGAGGAAGAAGGUCUUCGGAUUGUAAACUCCUGUUGUUGGGGAAAAAGAGGAUGGUACCCAACAAGGAAGUGACGGCUAACUACGUGCCAGCAGCCGUGGUAAUCUGAGCGGGCUGGCAAGGC